rnacentral:rRNA from 1 species
GAGAUAGAGCUUUCCCCUUCGGGGGACAAAGUGACAGGUGGUGCAUGGUUGUCGUCAGCUCGUGUCGUGAGAUGUUGGGUUAAGUCCCGCAACGAGCGCAACCCUUAAGCUUAGUUGCCAUCAUUAAGUUGGGCACUCUAGGCUGACUGCCGGUGACAAACCGGAGGAAGGUGGGGAUGACGUCAAAUCAUCAUGCCCCUUAUGAUUUGGGCUACACACGUGCUACAAUGGACAAUACAAAGGGCAGCUAAACCGCGAGGUCAUGCAAAUCCCAUAAAGUUGUUCUCAGUUCGGAUUGUAGUCUGCAACUCGACUACAUGAGGCUGGAAUCGCUAGUAAUCGUAGAUCAGCAUGCUACGGUGAAUACGUUCCCGGGUCUUGUACACACCGCCCGUCACACCACGAGAGUUUGUAACACCCGAAGCCGGUGGAGUAACCAUUUAUGGAGCUAGCCGUCGAAGGUGGGACAAAUGAUUGGGGUGAAGUCGUAACAAGGUAGCCGUAUCGGAAGG